rnacentral:rRNA from 1 species
AACGAACGUUAGCGGCGCGCUUAACACAUGCAAGUCGAGCGAGAAAGGGGCUUCGGCCCCCGGUAAAGCGGCGCACGGGUGAGUAACACGUAGGUAAUUUGCCCUUGGGUGGUGGAUAACCUUCCGAAAGGAGGGCUAAUACAGCAUAAGACCACGGUUCCGAAAGGGAUUGAGGUCAAAGCCGGCCUCUCUACAGAAGCUGGUGCCUGAGGAUGAGCCUGCGGCCCAUCAGGUAGUUGGUAGGGUAAUGGCCUACCAAGCCGAAGACGGGUAGCUGGUCUGAGAGGAUGAUCAGCCACACUGGAACUGAGACACGGUCCAGACUCCUACGGGAGGCAGCAGUGGGGAAUCUUGCGCAAUGGGCGAAAGCCUGACGCAGCGACGCCGCGUGAGUGAUGAAGGCCUUCGGGUUGUAAAGCUCUGUGGAGGGGGACGAAUAAGGGUUGGCUAAUAUCCAGCUCGAUGACGGUACCCCUUUAGCAAGCACCGGCUAACUCUGUGCCAGCCGCCGCAGUAAGAC